UCAUCAAAUUGGGAUUAGGGUAAAAGAACCUGGUGACCGUUCAGCUUCUUCUCUCUCGUGCGAACGACGGCGCUAUGAACAUCCUCCGAUUGCUCUCCGGCCACCGGCGACUAGCUUCCCCUCUCUCACCUUCUCUUCGCUCACAUACCUCUCGAUUCAAGCUUCGCCCCGAUUCAUGCUUCACCUCGUUUCUGACUUGACUCAACUCUCACUCUCCUCUUCGCCUGCGAUGAAAGUCGUUGUGAAUGUGAAGCCGACACAGUGGUGAUGUCGUUGUUCGUUGUUGAUGGACGCUGGACGUUGUUGCAAAGCGUUGAGGAUGACGAUGCUGAAUGAACGCGGUGGUUGAAGAUUGUUAUGCAGGGGAGACUCAAAUGAUGAAUCGGUGAUGAUGAUGAACGUAAUGCUGUUGCAAAGUUCUCGAAGAUGCAGAAUCGCAGAAUCACGUGAUGCCAGAGUGAUGAAUCAAAACGAUGAAGGCGAAGGUGAUGUUUAUCUAUUCUUGCUGUUAGCCACGAGGAUCGAUAUCAAAAGGUGAAGAACUGAGUCGUGAUCUUGAAUAACUCCGAUUGAAGAAGAGAGCAAGGUCGAAGAUUGAUGCAGAGAGGAAGAUGAAGAUUUUUCGGUUGUUCAGAUUUUUUUGAGAGUGAGAGGAUGAUAAGAGAUGAAGAUGGUGAUGGAAACUGAAGGUUGGUGAACAAAAAUGGUGAAGGUUCAGGUGAUGCAGGGUGAGGAAGAGAGUGAAGAUGAUGAAUGGGAGUGAAGGAUUCAAGGGAAAUGGUUGAAGAAACUCUUUGAAGUGUAGUGAUUCUGAUUUAUAGAGGUGAGUUCCUUCUCUGAUUUCUGUUACCUCUCUUGUGAUUCAUUUGGAAAAUGUUUAGCAUUUGUAACUGAUUCAGUUUUGGUAGUUACAUUCUCCUCUUCUCAUUCUGUUAAUUCUGUUAGUGACAGUUAGGGAAGUUAGAUUCUGUUUUUGAUCUUUUCUGUUGAUUCAGUUACCUCGAUAACAAACUGUUAGGGUUAGUUAUAUGUAGUAACUGAUUCUGUUAGGGGUGGUUAUAGGUGGUUAUAGGUGGUUAGAAGGUUGUUAGUUGUUAGGAAAGGUUUAGUAACAAACUGUUUUUUUGUUAUUGGAUUCUGUUUGAAGGUUAUGUGCUAACUGUCAGUUUGGAGAGAUGUUUUUUUCUGAAUUUGAACAAACUAAAUGGAGAUGAGUAAUGCUGAAUGUGUAUUUCAAAUGUUGCUGUUAA